rnacentral:rRNA from 1 species
GAAUUUUGGAAAAUGGGCGAAAGCCUGAUCCAGCAAUGCCGCGUGCAGGAUGAAGGCCUUCGGGUUGUAAACUGCUUUUGUACGGAACGAAGAGCUUUGGGUUAAUAACCUGGAGUCAUGACGGUACCGUAAGCAAAAGCACGGGCUAACUACGUGCCGGCAGCCGCUGUAAUACGUAUGGUGCAAGCGUUAAUCGGAAUUACUGGGCGCAAAGCGUGCGCAGGCGGUUUUGUAAGACAGAGGUGAAAUCCCCGGGCUCAACCUGGGAACUGCCGUUGUGACUGCAAGGCUAGAGUACGGCAGAGGGGGGUGGAAUUCCGCGUGUAGCAGUGAAAUGCGUAGAUAUGCGGAGGAACACCGAUGGCGAAGGCAACCCCCUGGGCCUGUACUGACGCUCAUGCACGAAAGCGUGGGGAGCAAAC